UACGGAAGGCAGCAGUGGGGAAUAUUGCACAAUGGGCGCAAGCCUGAUGCAGCCAUGCCGCGUGUAUGAAGAAGGCCUUCGGGUUGUAAAGUACUUUCAGUCGUGAGGAAGGUGUUAAGGUUAAUAACCUUAGCAAUUGACGUUAGCGACAGAAGAAGCACCGGCUAACUCCGUGCCAGCAGCCGCGGUAAUACGGAGGGUGCGAGCGUUAAUCGGAAUUACUGGGCGUAAAGGGCACGCAGGCGGUUAAUUAAGUUGGAUGUGAAAUCCCCGGGCUUAACCUGGGAAUGGCAUUCAAGACUGGUUAGCUAGAGUCUUGUAGGAGGGGGUAGAAUUCCAUGUGUAGCGGUGAAAUGCGUAGAGAUGGUGGAGGAAGUACCGGUGGCGAAGGCCGGCCCCUGGACAAAGACUGACGCUCAUGUGCGAAA
rnacentral:rRNA from 1 species